GCCCCUUCCUUCUGAUAGGUUCUCUGUCCACCUAGUACAAUGUCCAAUGCUGCGAUUGGGCCGGGGAGCUGUCAGUUCCGCCGGGCAGUUGAACAAGGAGACAGCGCCGCCUUGAGUAGGAAUAAGUAAAGUCAAGGCACAGACACUCUCUUCACGGAUUUGGAGAAGUUCAGAGAAGGUUUUCUACACGGGUACCUACUACACCUCUUCUCCAAGGAUUGUCGCCUCGUCGUGGUGGAGAGGCUUCUUAGAUCCCAAGUGACGCCACCCAGAGUUUAACAACCGUCGUGGGCUGACGGGAAACCGAAUGGUGUAGAGCACCACGCACGAAACGCUGGAGGAACUCAGCAGGUCAGGCAGCGUCCAUGGAAAUGAGUAAACAAUCGGCGUUUCGGGCCGAGAUGGCGGAAGCUGUCUCGCUGAGUUUAAGCCAGCAGGUGGGUGAAUUUCCAGCAUCUGUGCACUUUUGUGUAGACAGGCAUACACAGAGUAGCUGCCUUUGGGGUGGGGGGUGUGGGUGU